rnacentral:tRNA from 1 species
UCGCCCGUGGUGUAAUGGUAGCACGCCAGGUUCUGGCCCUGGAAAUCGAGGUUCGAAUCCUUGCGGGCGAGCCA